GAGGGGAGUGAAAAAGAACCUGAAACCGUGUACGUACAAGCAGUGGGAGCCCCACCACUAAGCCAGUGGUGAACUCCACAUACGCAUCCUUUGCUGAAGGUGCGGUUAACGGAGCGCAAGCGACGUUCAACCUCAAAAGAAGCAGAGGGGGCUUAGUGGUGGGGUGACUGCGUACCUUUUGUAUAAUGGGUCAGCGACUUAUAUUCUGUAGCAAGGUUAACCGCAUAGGGGAGCCGGAGGGAAACCGAGUCUUAAUUGGGCGUUAAGUUGCAGGGUAUAGACCCGAAACCCGGUGAUCUAGCCAUGGGCAGGUUGAAGGUUGGGUAACACUAACUGGAGGACCGAACCGACUAAUGUUGAAAAAUUAGCGGAUGACCUGUGGCUGGGGGUGAAAGGCCAAUCAAACCGGGAGAUAGCUGGUUCUCCCCGAAAGCUAUUUAGGUAGCGCCUCGUGAAUUCAUCUCCGGGGGUAGAGCACUGUUUCGGCUAGGGGGCCAUCCCGGCUUACCAACCCGAUGCAAACUGCGAAUACCGGAGAAUGUUAUCACGGGAGACACACGGCGGGUGCUAACGUCCGUCGUGAAGAGGGAAACAACCCAGACCGCCAGCUAAGGUCCCAAAGUCAUGGUUAAGUGGGAAACGAUGUGGGAAGGCCCAGACAGCCAGGAUGUUGGCUUAGAAGCAGCCAUCAUUUAAAGAAAGCGUAAUAGCUCACUGGUCGAGUCGGCCUGCGCG
rnacentral:rRNA from 1 species